GAAACCCAGGAACACCCAGAAGCCCAGCAGCACCCCUAACAGCAGGACCAGCUCAUCGCACUGUGCCAGGUGCUCAGCCGCGCCCCCCGCAUGGCUGGCACGGUGCUUGGCGUAGGGGCCGGCGUGUUCGUCCUCGCCCUGCUCUGGGUGUCGGUGCUGCUGCUGUGUGCCCUGCUGUUCAGAGCCUCGGGGGCAGCUAGGUUCUCUGUCAUUUUCGUGUUCCUCGGUGCUCUGAUCGUCACAGCCAUUCUGUUGCUCUUCCCUCGAGCCAGUGACGCCCCAGCCCCCGAGGCAGAGAUGAAGAUUGUAGAUGCCUUUUUCAUUGGCCGCUAUGUCCUGCUGGCUUUCCUCACUGCCGUCUUCCUUGGAAGCCUUUUCUUGGUUCUAAUCCAUCACAUCCUGGAGCCAAUCUAUGCCAAACCACUGCGGUCCUACUGAGCCGCCUUCGGGAAAACCAAGACCUUGUUCUCCCUCUCGCUUUGAUGUCACUGGUGAGCAGCAAGGUACUGUUCAGAGUUUUGUGUUGACAGCCUUCCUGCCUUAAAAUCAGAGGAUCAUCUCUUCAUCAUGAAGACAAAUCCGUUGAGUCCUGGCUUCCAGAAACAGGAUUGCAGAAUUGCCCCUGAGGAGAGAUUCUCACCAGCUUAAGGGGGAUUUCACUGUCUUCUCAGCACCUGCACCUCAGGUUCUCCUCCUCUUUUGAAAAGGAAAUAGCAACAGUGAUCUGCUUAGGUUUUUCAGUCAAGACAUCAGCAAGUGAAUUUUGAGAAAAAGGGUACUUUAGCUUCUCCUGUCCAACAGAUGGAAGAACUUGGUCCUUUUUGAUAAUAUGUGAAAUACUUAAUUUCAAGGUCAAGAUCAUUUGGGAAAGAAAGGCCCUCAAAGUUCAAAAGAUUAUUUGAACGUGGUGACUUGGAGACAUAUAUCAGGUGCCAGCUUUGCAGCGCUCUGCGUGUCACACCACAGGGCUCCACUAAGGCCUUGGUGUCACUUUCUGCUGCCUCGAGAAAGCAGUCAGCAGCAGCCAGAGGACUGACUUUCACCUCAAGCUCCUGGGCACAGCUUCCUGAAUCUAGCAUUUCUACAGUUCAGGUUCAUGGGGGGAUUAGAGGCAGAGUUUGGAAACGCCAGUUGUGUGUCCUGCCGCCCUCUCUAGAUUCUCCUUCUUCCAGUAUUUGGUGGUCUUCGUUCCUUUAUUUAGUUACCCAUAGCCUCUUAAAAUUGUAUCCUGACAAAGACCACAUCAGCACAUUACCCCGCACUGAUCCACUAGAUGGCGCUGUCUCAAGCUGGCAGAACACACCAGUUGAACGAUUUUGUUUUGCUUUGAUUUGCAUCGAUGGGUCCAGCAACGUGCUGUGGGGACGUCCCUGGUGGCCCAGUGGUUACAGAAUCCGACUGCCAAUGCAGGGGACACAGGUUCAAUCCCUGAUCCAGGACGAUCCCACAUGCCGCGGAGCAGCAGAGCCCAUGUGCCACUCAGUUGGCCCGUGUGCCACUGCUGAAGCCACUGCAACGAGAAGUCCUGGUACCCCAACGAAGAGUAGCCCCCACUCAGCAACAAAGACUCGGCACAACCAAAAAUAAAUAAAAAUACAAAAGAAACCUGCUGCAGUUAUUUCACAGGUGAGAGACAAGCAGAGAGAUAAGGGGAUUGUAAAAAGUUGCACAAGUAGUAACGAGGCUCCCACUUGACACUGGGAUCCUGGUAUCUCAUUUCUCAAAACAGUUUAAUGAUCAGUUUUGGCUUUCAGGCAACUCCUUAUUUUUCCAUUGGCUAAUAUUAUUUCCUAACUACUUAUACCCACCAUUCCUGUGACCCAUAUCCAAAACAGAUAAGUGAAAAGUGAAAAUGAAGUCGCUCAGUGGUGUCCGACUCUUUGGGACCGCAUGGACUGUAGCCUAUCAGGCUCCUCCGUCUAUGGAAUUUUCCAGGCAAGAGUGCUGGAGUGGAUUGCCAUUUCCUUCUCCAGGGGAUCUUCCCAACCCAGGAUUCAAACCCUGGUCUCUCGCAUUGCAGGCAGAUGCUUUACCGUCUGAGCCACCAGGGAAGCCCAUCAAAACAGGUAAAGGUCUCAUUAAAGAAUUCCUAAUUAACACUUAAGUGUUAGUCACCCAGUCGUGUCCGACUCUGUGCCCACCAGGCUCCUCUGUCCGUGGGAUUCUCCAGGCAAGAAUACUGGAGUGGAUUGCCAUUUCCUUCUCCAGGGAUCUUCCCAACCCAGGAUUCAAACCCUGGUCUCUCGCAUUGCAGGCAGAUGCUUUACCGUCUGAGCCACCAGGGAAGCCCAUCAAAACAGGUAAAGGUCUCAUUAAAGAAUUCCUAAUUAACACUUAAGUGUUAGUCACCCAGUCGUGUCCGACUCUGUGCCCACCAGGCUCCUCUGUCCGUGGGAUUCUCCAGGCAAGAAUACUGGAGUGGAUUGCCAUUUCCUUCUCCAGGAGAUCUUCCUUCCAGGGAUCAAACCUGGGGCUCCUGCAUUGCAGGCAGAUUCUUUACCGUCUGAGCUGCCAGGGAAGCUCAACCAGUUAACAUUUCUAGUACAAAUAAAAAACAUUUUAUCAGGACUUCUUGGCAUGCAGUUUUAAAUAUUUGGUUCUUACCACAUAGGAGCAACUUUCCAGACGUUGGAAUGGGAACCGCAUGGGUAUGAAUCUAAAGAAGUGAUUAUCCUCACAGGAGCAUAAAAACUCAGGAUUGGAAGAGAUUUUAUCACCCACAGAAUUCAACUUUUCAUCUCUAUUUCCAGCCCAGAUACUUGGGAAUAUUCUCUUCUUUACCUGCUGAACUCACAAUUUUUAUUGUAUUUAGCAAACACGUAGGAGGCGCUUUUCUAAGCAGCCCUCAAGUAUUAACUAACGGCAUCCUUAUAGCAACUCUUCAGUAUUCUUAAUACCCCCAUUUCACAGACAGGGAACAGGGGGGCAAGGUGGUUUGCUUGAGGUCACUCAGCUAGGAGUUAAACAGGAACCAGGACUGAAGUCAGGCAGUCUCAGCUCUUCACUGUCUUCUACCACGUCCCCUGGAAGGUGAAAACAAAGGAAAAGGGAGGAGGCAGGAAGUAGCGAUGAAAUGCAGUUGAGUCUUCUGCAAAAUCUGGAAUCUCAGGAAUCCAGGGCUAUGCAAUCAGAAGCCACACGGACUCAGGGACAGCUUCACUGAUCAGCUCUGGUUUGGGGGGCCCUGCGCUGUAAGAUUUCAGCUUCCCCCUCAAGUAGGUGUCCUCACUGAUGGAGCGACUGGUGGAUUGACUGUCAAGGACACACAUGACCAUCUCUCUCUUCAACUCUGCCUGCCUGGAAAAAUGGAUGCUUGGGUUGGUUUUCAGAGGCGCCAAUGGAAGAACCAAAGCCGCAAGGCAAGAAUGCAUGUGCGUCUCUUGGCCUCUGUCUCUAGCAAGCCACAUCAGUUGCUGUUUACUCAAGGAAGAUAUUUCCAAGCCCCCUGCCCACCCACUCAACACACACCUUCCUGCCUCAGUUUCCUGGGACCUAGGAAAUGACAGCAGGGAUCAAAACCAGGGCCCAGCACCACAGACAGAAUGAGAAAGCUCAUCUUCUGGUUUCCCCACACAUUGGAUACUGUAAAGCAGGGGUCCCCGACCUCUGUGAUCUAAUGCCUGACGAUCUGAGGUGGAGUUAAUGUAGUAAUCUAAGAAAGUGCACAAGAAACGUAAUGCACUUGAACCAUCCUGAAACCAUCCCCCCAGCCCCUUGGUCCGUGGAAAAACUCUUCCACAAAACCGGUCCCUGGAGCCAAAAAGGUUGAGGACCACUGAUGUAAAAGAUGUGCAUGUAGCCCAGGUCCUGCCCUCAGGGAACUCAGGGUAGUUAUACAUUUAUUUGGUAUUUGGUGGCAUUUAUUUGGUGGCCCCAUGGCCAUCCUCUCCACUUGUUUUUUUUAAUCUUUGAGGAUUUCUUUGGUUUUGCUAUCUUCAGAUUGAUAUUGGCCCCUUUUUACCCUGGGGAUGUGUAAUACUUUCCUUUGCUGCUGUAACAAAUUACUACAAACUUAGUAGUAAAGAGGGCUUCCUUGGUGGCUCAGAUGGUAAAAACUUCCUGCAAUGCAGAAACCCAGGUGUGAUCCCUUGGUUGGGAAUAUCCCUGGAGAAGAAAAUGGCAACCCACUCCAGUAUUCUUGCCUGGAGAAUCCCAUGGACAGAGGAUCCUGGUGGGCUACAGUCCAUGGAAUGGCAAAGAGUCGGACACGACUGAGCAACUAACACUUUCACUUUUUUCACUAGUAAUUUAGAACAAUACCAGUUUAUUAACUUAUAGCCCUUUUGAGGUCAGAUAUCUGAAAUGAAUUCACAAGGCUAAAAUCAAGGUUUUGGAGGCUCCAGAGAAGAAUCCUGUUUCCUUGCCUUUUCCAGCCUCUGGAGGCUGUCCAUAUUCCUUGGCCUUGCCUCCAUCUUCAAAGCCAGCAUCUUCUGGGAAUUCCCUGGUGAUCCAGUGGUUAGGACUGGGCACUUUCACUGCUGAGGAUGCAGGUUCAAUUCCCAGUCAGGGAACUAAGAUCUCGCAUGCAAGUAGCAAGGUGGAGGCC
ensembl:lncRNA